UACGAAGGAUGCAAGCGUUAUCCGGAUUUAUUGGGUUUAAAGGGAGCGUAGGCGGUCUUAUAAGUCAGUGGUGAAAUCUCGUUGCUUAACAACGACCGUGCCAUUGAUACUGUAGGACUUGAGUACAGUUGCCGUUGGCGGAAUGUGUCAUGUAGCGGUGAAAUGCAUAGAUAUGACACAGAACACCGAUUGCGAAGGCAGCUGACGAAACUGUAACUGACGCUGAGGCUGAAAGCGUGGGGAUCAAACAGG
rnacentral:rRNA from 1 species